AGCAGCCGCGGUAAUUCCAGCUCCAAUAGCGUAUAUUAAAGUUGUUGCAGUUAAAAAGCUCGUAGUUGAAUUUCGGGAUCGAAUUGUUGGUCAUGCUUCGGUACGCACUGGCAUUAUCGGUUUCUACCUUCUGAAGAACCGCGAUGUCAUUAAUUUGGUGUCGUGGGGAAUCAGGACUGUUACUUUGAAAAAAUUAGAGUGUUUAAAGCAGGCGUACGCUUGAAUACAUUAGCAUGGAAUAAUGAAAUAGGACGUUUGAUUCUAUUUUGUUGGUUUCUAGGAUCGACGUAAUGAUUAAUAGGGAUAGUUGGGGGCAUUAGUAUUCAAUUGUCAGAGGUGAAAUUCUUGGAUUUAUUGAAGACUAACUACUGCGAAAGCAUUUGCCAAGGAUGUUUUCAUUAAUCAAGAACGAAAGUUAGGGGAUCGAAGACGAUCAGAUACCGUCGUAGUCUUAACCAUAAACUAUGCCGACUAGGGAUCGGAUGAUGUUAAUUUUAUAAUGACUCA
rnacentral:rRNA from 1 species